AUUGAACGCUGGCGGCAUGAUUUACACAUGCAAGUCGAACGGUAACAGGCCGCCAGGUGCUGACGAGUGGCGAACGGGUGAGUAAUGCAUCGGAACGUGCCCAGUCGUGGGGGAUAACUACUCGAAAGAGUAGCUAAUACCGCAUACGAUCUAUGGAUGAAAGCGGGGGACCGUAAGGCCUCGCGCGAUUGGAGCGGGCGCUGUCAGAUUAGUUAGUUGGUGGGGUAAAGGCUCACCAAGCCAACGAUCUGUAGCUGGUCUGAGAGGACGACCGGCCACACUGGGACUGAGACACGGCCCAGACUCCUACGGGAGGCAGCAGUGGGGAAUUUUGGACAAUGGGCGCAAGCCUGAUCCAGCAAUGCCGCGUGCAGGAAGAAGGCCUUCGGGUUGUAAACUGCUUUUGUACGGAACGAAACGGCUCUGGUUAAUACCCGGGGCUAAUGACGGUACCGUAAGAAUAAGCACCGGCUAACUACGUG
rnacentral:rRNA from 1 species